rnacentral:rRNA from 1 species
AUUGAACGCUGGCGGCAGGCCUAACACAUGCAAGUCGAGCGGAAACGAGUUAUCUGAACCUUCGGGGAACGAUAACGGCGUCGAGCGGCGGACGGGUGAGUAAUGCCUAGGAAAUUGCCCUGAUGUGGGGGAUAACCAUUGGAAACGAUGGCUAAUACCGCAUAACGCCUACGGGCCAAAGAGGGGGACCUUCGGGCCUCUCGCGUCAGGAUAUGCCUAGGUGGGAUUAGCUAGUUGGUGAGGUAAGGGCUCACCAAGGCGACGAUCCCUAGCUGGUCUGAGAGGAUGAUCAGCCACACUGGAACUGAGACACGGUCCAGACUCCUACGGGAGGCAGCAGUGGGGAAUAUUGCACAAUGGGCGCAAGCCUGAUGCAGCCAUGCCGCGUGUGUGAAGAAGGCCUUCGGGUUGUAAAGCACUUUCAGUCGUGAGGAAGGUAGUGUAGUUAAUAGCUGCACUAUUUGACGUUAGCGACAGAAGAAGCACCGGCUAACUCCGUGCCAGCAGCCGCGGUAAUACGGAGGGUGCGAGCGUUAAUCGGAAUUACUGGGCGUAAAGCGCAUGCAGGUGGUUUGUUAAGUCAGAUGUGAAAGCCCGGGGCUCAACCUCGGAAUUGCAUUUGAAACUGGCAGACUAGAGUACUGUAGAGGGGGGUAGAAUUUCAGGUGUAGCGGUGAAAUGCGUAGAGAUCUGAAGGAAUACCGGUGGCGAAGGCGGCCCCCUGGACAGAUACUGACACUCAGAUGCGAAAGCGUGGGGAGCAAACAGGAUUAGAUACCCUGGUAGUCCACGCCGUAAACGAUGUCUACUUGGAGGUUGUGGCCUUGAGCCGUGGCUUUCGGAGCUAACGCGUUAAGUAGACCGCCUGGGGAGUACGGUCGCAAGAUUAAAACUCAAAUGAAUUGACGG